rnacentral:rRNA from 1 species
ACCCGCACAAGCGGUGGAUGAUGUGGAUAAUUCGAUGCAACGCGAGAACCUUACCUACCCUUGACAUGUCCGGAACUUGCCAGAGAUGGCUUGGUGCCCGAAAGGGAAUCGGAACACAGGUGCUGCAUGGCUGUCGUCAGCUCGUGUCGUGAGAUGUUGGGUUAAGUCCCGCAACGAGCGCAACCCUUAUCAUUAGUUGCUACGCAAGGGCACUCUAAUGGGACUGCCGGUGACAAACCGGAGGAAGUGGGGAUGACGUCAAGUCCUCAUGGCCCUUAUGGGUAGGGCUUCACACGUCAUACAAUGGUCGGUACAGAGGGUUGCCAAGCCGCGAGGCGGAGCCAAUCCCACAAAGCCGAUCGUAGUCCGGAUUGUUCUCUGCAACUCGAGAGCAUGAAGUCGGAAUCGCUAGUAAUCGCAGGUCAGCAUACUGCGGUGAAUACGUUCCCGGGCCUU